rnacentral:rRNA from 1 species
CGCGGCGAAUACGUUCCCGGGUCUUGUACACACCGCCCGUCACACCACGAAAGCCCAUUGCAACAGAAGUGCCCGUAAGGGCCCGAAGUUGUGGUUGGUGAUUGGGGUG